GGAUUGUGGCUCAGAGGUAGAGCACUUGCCUAGCAUGUGUGAGGCCCUGGGUUCGAUCCUCAGCACCA
rnacentral:tRNA from 1 species